rnacentral:tmRNA from 1 species
GGGGGCGUACCGGUUUCGACGGGGAUAUGGAAGCUGUAGUGGCAUACCGAGGUUCCUACCAGGCCUCGUUAAACAGGUAGGAAACAUAUAAGCGCAACCAAAUACGAUUACGCUUUAGCCGCAUAGACGGCUACGUUCUCCCGGCCUCGCCUAUCGGGUCGGAUGAGGGCGUCAAACAGGUAGGAUAGCCGAACCCGCCUGCCUGAAGCGGGGGAAGCGAAAUCAAGACAGGAUAGCUCUCGAUAAAUCCUGCCUUUGGGAGUUGUCGAGAGUGAAUUUAGAACAAAGGCUAUGUAUGUAGAAGCUGCAGCGGAAUGUUUCCGGACGCGGGUUCGACUCCCGCCGCCUCCACCA